CCCUUAGAUGUUCUGGGCCGCACGCGCGCUACACUGACGAAGUCAGCGAGCAUGUCCUACGCCGACAGGUGCGGGGAAUCUUGUCAAACUUCGUCGUGAUGGGGAUUGAUUAUUGAAAUUCUUGAUCAUCAACGAGGAAUUCCUAGUAAGCGCAAGUCAGCAGCUUGCAUUGAUUACGUCCCUGCCCUUUGUACACACCGCCCGUCGCUACUACCGAUUGAAUGGUUUAGUGAGAUCUUCGGAUUGGCGCCACUGCGGCUCAGCAAUGGGCUCGGUGGAUGCCGAAAAGUUGAUCAAACUUGAUCAUUUAGAGGAAGUAAAAGUCGUAACA
rnacentral:rRNA from 1 species